rnacentral:sRNA from 1 species
GACAGAGAACACCCCAAUGAUUGCCGGCCUUGGGAAGGCCGCGGAGCUGGUGACCCAGAACUGCGAGGCUUAUGAGGCCCACAUGAGGGACGUCCGCGACUACCUGGAGGAGAGGCUGGAAGCUGAAUUCGGUCAGAAGAGAAUCCAUCUGAAUAGCCAGUUUCCAGGCACCCAGCGGCUUCCCAACACCUGCAACUUCUCCAUCCGGGGACCCCGGCUUCAAGAGAAACCCAGCAGUCGUGUUUGGCCCAUGAAGAAGAACCCGUGGGUAACCGUCAUGAUGGCUGCGUUCAUGAGAACCUGGGCUGAAAUGCGCUCUUGUGGGCAGUGAAGCCUUGGUCUCCUUGACCAUCUCAGAUUCCUCACCAUGGAAAGGAGAGUUCUCUGUCCACGUUCCCCUUGUUCUGGGGUCAGACUUUGUGUCCAAUGACUACCUGUGUUACUUUAAAUGAGACAGAGGUUCUCAUUUUAUUUAUUUAUUUUUUGAUUCAGGGUCUCACUCUGUCAUCACCCGGGCUGGAGUGCUGUGGCGCAAUCACAGCCCACUGUAGCCUUGACCUUCUGGGUUUAAGUGAUCCUCCUGCCUCAGCCUCUCUAGUAGCUGGGACUGCAGGCACGCACCACCACACCUGGAUAACUUUUUUAUUUUUGAGAUGGAGUUUCACUCUUGUUGCCCAGGCUUGAGUACAGUGGUGUGAUCUCAGCUCACCGCAACCUCCGCCUCCCGGGUUCAAGCGAUUCUCCUGCCUCAGCCUCCAGAGUAGCUGGGAUUACAGGUGCCUGCCACCACACUGGGCUAAUUUUUGUAUUCUAAGUAGACACGGGGUUUUGCCAUGUUGGCAAGGCUGGUCUCGAACUCCUGACCUCAGGUGAUCCACCCGCCUCGGCUCCCCAAAGUGCUGGGAUUACAGG